GAAAAUUUAGGUAAAAUGGAUUUGAAUAUGCAUGAGAGUAACGUUUUUAGAACAAAUAGGUUUGUGGAAAACAUCCGAAGUAAUUAUGAUAGUCACAAUUUUGUAACGAAUGAUAAUGAUGAUUGUAUAUGUGGGAAAUAAAAAUAUAUGUAUUGUAGCCAUAUAUUACAACAUAUCUAUAUAUCGCCAUUUUACAGCAGUUAAACACUUACUUAGUAGCCAAGUCCUUUAUCAUGCAAAUUAUUAGAGCCAGUUGGCUGAGGUAUGAUUAUAUAAUAUAAACUAUAUUGGGUAUGCUUGGGUUAAACACCACAUUUGCAUAUAUUACGGAGCUACAUUUAAAUAGUCCUUAUUAUUUAAUCACUAAGGCGUAAUGAUAAUUAAGAAGUGAUUAAGUUAAAAGUCAUUUUGGCUUGAGUUUAGCUUGGGUAGCUUGAGUAGGAAGGCAUUACCAUAGAGAAAAUAAUUUUCUCUAUGGCAUUACCAACACAAUGUUCUAAUGGUAAUGAGGGAGCUGAGAUCUCCGGGUAUAAAAGCAAUCAAAAUUCGAAGAAAGCCUACUGUAUAGAAGGAACAGUUACGGUGUAACGAGUUUAAGAGAGUUGUUGAGAAACUUGUAUAUGACCUAAGAUUGGGGGUCUGGUCUUGUCUUACUUUGUCUUGUAUAUAAUUUGAUUCACGUUUCACCAUUCUGAUGUCCACUGAUUUGACGUCAUAGUCAAGGAAUAAAGAAUUUUAUCACCCACA